AUGAACACAAAUGUGUCUUGUGUUUUGAGUUACUGUUGCAGGCUGCACCCUUUGUCAUCAUCUGAACAACUAAAGUUGGUUGUUGGUUACCUCUUAAGGGUUCUCUUAUGUCCCUUGAGAGGAAGAUUUGUCCCUCUGUCGAAAGUAAAGUGUCAUGGGUUGAUGAUGAGUGUCAACUGUCUUGUACACCAAAAUAACUUUAGGACUUUCUUUUCCUAUCAUUUUGAGUCGAAUGUACUGUGGUGCUGA